rnacentral:rRNA from 1 species
UACGGAGGGGGUUAGCGUUGUUCGGAAUGACUGGGCGUAAAGCGCGCGUAGGCGGAUCAGGAAGUUGGGGGUGAAAUCCCGGGGCUCAACCCCGGAAUGGCCUUCAAAACUCCUGGUCUUGAGUUCGAGAGAGGUGAGUGGAAUUCCGAGUGUAGAGGUGAAAUUCGUAGAUAUUCGCAAGAACACCAGUGGCGAAGGCGGCUCACUGGCCCGAUACUGACGCUGAGGCACGAAAGCGUGGGGAGCGAACAGG